GCUGUUUCCUGCUUGUAUCCUACUGAGAUUAGUCCACUCGAUUAACUACCUCAGAAAACCUGGAAUUCCUUCCUUCCUUCCUUCCUUCCUUCCUUCCUUCCUUCCUUCCUUCCUCCUUCCUCCUUCCUUCCCUCCUUCCUUCCCUCCUCCCUCUCUUCCUUCCUCCCUUCCUUCCUGCCUUCCUUCCUUGCUUUCUUCCUUUUUUUCCUUCCUUCCUUUUUUCCUUCCUUCCUUCUUUUUUUCCUUCCUUUCUCCUUCCUUCCUUCCUUCCUUCCUUCCUUCCUCCCUUCCUCCCUUCCUUCCUCCCUUCCUCCCUUCCCUCCCUCCUUCCUUCCCUCCUUCCUCCUUCCUUCCUCCUUCCCUCCUUCCUUCCUCCUUCCUCCUUCCUCCUUCCUUCCGUCCUUCCUUCCUUCCUUCCUUCUCCUUCCUUCCUUCCUCCCUUCCUCCCUUCCCUCCCUCUUCCUUCCUUCCUCCCUCCCUCCCUUCCUUCCUCCUUCCCUCUUUCCUUCCUCCCUUCCUUCCUGCUUCCUUCCUUCCUUCCUUCUUCCUUCCUUUCUCCUUCCUUCCUUCCUUUCUUCCUCCUUCCUCCUUCCUUCCUUUUUUCCUUCCUUCCUGCUUCCUUCCUUCCUCCCUCUUCCUUCCUUCCUUCCUCCCUCCCUCCCUCCUUCCUUCCUUCCUUCUCCCUCCUUCCUUCCUUCCGUCCUCCCUUCCUCCUUCCUUCCUCCUUCCCUCCUUCCUUCCUUCCUCCCGUCCUUCCUUCCUUCCUCCUUCCUCCUUCCCUCUUCCUUCCUCCCUCCUUCCUUCCUUCCUUUUUCCCUUCCUUCCUUUUUCCCUUCCUUCCUUUCUCCUUCCUUCCGUCCUCCUUCCUUCCUCCUUCCCUCCCUCUUCCUUCCUUCCUUCCUCCCUCCCUCCUUCCUUCCUUCCUCCCUCCCUCCUUCCUUCCUUCCUUCCUCCUUCCUCCUUCCCUCCCUCUUCCUUCCUUCCCUCCUUCCUUCCUCCCUCCCACCCUUCCUUCCUCCUUCCCUCCUUCCUUCCUCCUUUCCUUCCUGCUUCCUUCCUUCUUCCUUCCUCCUUCCCUCCUUCCUUCCUUCUUCCUUCCUUUUUCCCUUCCUUCUUUUUCCCUUCCUUCCUUUCUCUUCCUUCCUUCCUUCCUUCCUUCCUUCCUUCCUUCCUCCUUCCCUCCUUCCUUCCUCCCUUCCUUCCUCCUUCCUUCCUCCCUUCCUUCCUUCCUUCCUUCCUUCCUUCCUUCCUUUUUCCCUUCCUUCCUUUUUCCCUUCCUUCCUUUUCCCUUCCUUGCUUUCUCCUUCCUUCCUUCCUUGCUUGCCUCCUUGCUUCCUUCCUCCCUCCCUUCUUCCUUCCUUCUUCUUUCCUUCCUUCCUUCUUUAUUCUGGUAAAACAUAAAUGCAAACUUUAUUAGGGCACAAGGAGAUAUUAGGACUUCUGUUUGCAAGUGUUCAGUAAAUGCACUAUUGUCUACUUCUAAC
rnacentral:lncRNA from 1 species